UACGUAGGCAGCAAGCGUUGUUCGGAGUUACUGGGCGUAAAGGGUGCGUAGGCGGUUCUGUAAGUAUGGUGUGAAAUCUCCCGGCUUAACUGGGAGGGUGCGCUAUAAACUGCGGGCUAGAGUGUGGGGAGAGGAAAGUGGAAUUCCUGGUGUAGCGGUGAAAUGCGUAGAUAUCAGGAGGAACACCGGUGGUGUAAACGGCUUUCUGGACCAUAACUGACGCUGAAGCACGAAAGCGUGGGUAGCAAACAGG
rnacentral:rRNA from 1 species